GUGCACCAGUCUCGAAAACUUUACAAUGUGCGAAAGCACGAUAAGGGAACUCUGAGUGCCUCCUAAGGAGGCUGUUCUGAUGUCUAAAAAGCGACAGAAGUAAGGGCUGGGUAAGACCGGUGCCAGCCGCCGCGGUAACACCGGCAGCCCAAGUGGUAGCCACGUUUAUUGGGUCUAAAGCGUUCGUAGCCGGCCAGGUAAGUUCCUUGGUAAAUUUAGCCGCUUAACGGUUAAGCUUUCAGGGAAUACUGCUUGGCUUGGGACUGGGAGAGGUCAGAGGUACUCCGGGGGUAGGGGUGAAAUCUAUUAAUCCCUGGGGGACCACCGGUAGCGAAGGCGUCUGACCAGACCAGGUCCGACGGUGAGGGACGAAGGCUAGGGGCGCGAACCGGAUUAGAUACCCCCGUAGU
rnacentral:rRNA from 1 species